ACGUAGGUGGCAAGCGUUGUCCGGAUUUAUUGGGUUUAAAGGGUGCGUAGGCGGCCUUGUAAGUCAGUGCUGAAAUAUCCCGGCUUAACCGGGAGGGUGGCAUUGAUACUGCAGGGCUUGAGUGAAGUCGAAGUAGGCGGAAUUGACGGUGUAGCGGUGAAAUGCUUAGAUAUCGUCAAGAACACCGAUAGUGAAGACAGCUUACUAGGUUUCAACUGACGCUGAGGCACGAAAGUGUGGGGAUCAAACAGGA
rnacentral:rRNA from 1 species